rnacentral:rRNA from 1 species
GACGAACGCUGGCGGCGUGCUUAACACAUGCAAGUCGAACGAAGAGCGAUGGAAGCUUGCUUCUAUCAAUCUUAGUGGCGAACGGGUGAGUAACGCGUAAUCAACCUGCCCUUCAGAGGGGGACAACAGUUGGAAACGACUGCUAAUACCGCAUACGAUCUAAUCUCGGCAUCGAGGAUAGAUGAAAGGUGGCCUCUAUAUGUAAGCUAUCACUGAAGGAGGGGAUUGCGUCUGAUUAGCUAGUUGGAGGGGUAACGGCCCACCAAGGCGAUGAUCAGUAGCCGGUCUGAGAGGAUGAGCGGCCACAUUGGGACUGAGACACGGCCCAGACUCCUACGGGAGGCAGCAGUGGGGAAUCUUCCGCAAUGGACGAAAGUCUGACGGAGCAACGCCGCGUGAGUGAUGACGGCCUUCGGGUUGUAAAGCUCUGUUAAUCGGGACGAAAGGCCUUCUUGCGAAUAGUGAGAAGGAUUGACGGUACCGGAAUAGAAAGCCACGGCUAACUACGUGCCAGCAGCCGCGGUAAUACGUAGGUGGCAAGCGUUGUCCGGAAUUAUUGG